AGGCAGCUCAGAAAAGUGCCAAGUGCCUGAGAGUCCCAAAUGUAAGUGCAGAGGGAUUAAAAGGCCCUGCUGCAUUUAACUUGCUCCAUCUUCGUUUCCAUCUCGCCUUCCAUCCCUGUUUUUUUUUUUUUUUGUCGUUCCCUGGAGGAGGUGGGAAGAUCCUGGCUUGUCAGCUUGUCUUUCAGGAAAUGGACAGGAUUUUUUUUUGAAGGUGCUGGGUGCUUACAAAAAGGGCAAAGGAUAGAGCCGCUGCUCCCCAGACGACUCAAAAUGACUUUCAUGUGGAACACAGGAGGAGUGAGAAGGGCCUCCCAUUUAUUUACCAUCUACUAAGACGUUGUGUCCCUGUCACGUACCAGGAGUGCCUCUACUCUGGACAUCCAGGGACUUCGGAGAGCUGGAAGCAUAAGGACUGUGCAAUGACAGAAUCUGUGUUUUCUACCACACCCUGCCUGUGAAUAGUCCUAAUAUUUAAAAAGUGAGUA
rnacentral:lncRNA from 1 species